GGGCACGUAGCUCAGUCGGUUAGAGCGCCUGCUUCACACGCAGGAGGUCCCCAGUUCGAGUCUGGGCGUGCCCACCA
rnacentral:tRNA from 2 species